rfam:Acetobacterium wieringae strain DSM 1911 ACWI_contig000031, whole genome shotgun sequence.
AAAAAGACGCUGAUAAGGACGAGUAAGUUAUCCCGAUGUUUCAGAGAGUAGGCAACCUGGCUGUAAUUGCUUAUACAACAGAUAAUUGAAAACCACCUUGGAGUCGAAGCCUGAAAUAAUUUGAAAUGUUACCUUGGGUACUUUCAAUACAGUAAGGUUUUACGGUGCUGACCGUUAUUCAGAACUUAAGUGGAUUCAUGAAAAUGAAUCAAAUUGGGUGGAACCGCGUUGAGACGUCCCUUUG